rnacentral:piRNA from 1 species
UGCUGCUGCUGCUCACAGACAGGUAGC